GCGCAGCUACACAUGCAGUCGAGCGGUAGCACAGAGAGCUUGCUCUCGGGUGACGAGCGGCGGACGGGUGAGUAAUGUCUGGGAAACUGCCUGAUGGAGGGGGAUAACUACUGGAAACGGUAGCUAAUACCGCAUAACGUCGCAAGACCAAAGUGGGGGACCUUCGGGCCUCAUGCCAUCAGAUGUGCCCAGAUGGGAUUAGCUAGUAGGUGGGGUAAUGGCUCACCUAGGCGACGAUCCCUAGCUGGUCUGAGAGGAUGACCAGCCACACUGGAACUGAGACACGGUCCAGACUCCUACGGGAGGCAGCAGUGGGGAAUAUUGCACAAUGGGCGCAAGCCUGAUGCAGCCAUGCCGCGUGUAUGAAGAAGGCCUUCGGGUUGUAAAGUACUUUCAGCGAGGAGGAAGGCGUUAAGGUUAAUAACCUUAGCGAUUGACGUUACUCGCAGAAGAAGCACCGGCUAACUCCGUGCCAGCAGCCGCGGUAAUACGGAGGGUGCAAGCGUUAAUCGGAAUUACUGGGCGUAAAGCGCACGCAGGCGGUCUGUCAAGUCGGAUGUGAAAUCCCCGGGCUCAACCUGGGAACUGCAUUCGAAACUGGCAGGCUAGAGUCUUGUAGAGGGGGGUAGAAUUCCAGGUGUAGCGGUGAAAUGCGUAGAGAUCUGGAGGAAUACCGGUGGCGAAGGCGGCCCCCUGGACAAAGACUGACGCUCAGGUGCGAAAGCGUGGGGAGCAAACAGGAUUAGAUACCCUGGUAGUCCACGCCGUAAACGAUGUCGACUUGGAGGUUGUGCCCUUGAGGCGUGGCUUCCGGAGCUAACGCGUUAAGUCGACCGCCUGGGGAGUACGGCCGCAAGGUUAAAACUCAAAUGAAUUGACGGGGGCCCGCACAAGCGGUGGAGCAUGUGGUUUAAUUCGAUGCAACGCGAAGAACCUUACCUACUCUUGACAUCCAGAGAACUUAGCAGAGAUGCUUUGGUGCCUUCGGGAACUCUGAGACAGGUGCUGCAUGGCUGUCGUCAGCUCGUGUUGUGAAAUGUUGGGUUAAGUCCCGCAACGAGCGCAACCCUUAUCCUUUGUUGCCAGCGGUCCGGCCGGGAACUCAAAGGAGA
rnacentral:rRNA from 1 species